rnacentral:rRNA from 1 species
UACAGAGGUCCCGAGCGUUGUUCGGAUUCACUGGGCGUAACGGGUGCGUAGGUGUUUGGGUAAGUCUGAUGUGAAAUCUCCGGGCUCAACCCGGAAAUGGCAUUGGAUACUAUUCGGCUAGAGGUUUGGAGGGGGGACUGGAAUUCUCGGUGUAGCAGUGAAAUGCGUAGAUAUCGAGAGGAACACCAGUGGCGAAGGCGAGUCCCUGGACAACACCUGACACUGAGGCACGAAAGCUAGGGGAGCAAACGGG